GCCUAAGUAGUUUAAUUAUAAAAUGUUGAUUUGUGGAGUCAUUGAUGUAGUUUAUUUUACCUUGGGUC
rnacentral:tRNA from 1 species